ensembl:lncRNA
CGCGGACACAGGAAGCUGUGUGUACCUGUUACGGAGAAGUUUACGAAAAGUACAGAUUGACACUGGACAGAAACGAUGGUGUGACUGCUAAUAAAAGCUAGCAUCUACGUGGUUAGAAGGAUCCGGGCUUCCAUCGCUGAAGGAGAGCAACAGGAGAAGCCCAUCCUGACACCAUGUAGUGCUAUAGCUGGAAAGAGAGCGGGGCAGGGGUUGAGAGAAAAAGCCUCUGCUGCAUCACUGAGCCCAGGAUCUGAUGAAGGCGUCUUAGAAGCAGCAGGGCCGGGGACGUCAUCAGAGACAGCUGUGCAGAAAUGUGGCUCCUGACGUUAAAGACUACGCUGGACACUAGGACCAUGGACAAGUCAAUAAAAAUAAAUAAUCGAUUAUUUAUUUAAUUUCAUUUUUGGGGGGUACUCAUUCAUUUUAUACACCAAACAGUUUAUGUGUGAAGAUCUACAUUGUUAUUUUUCUUUUACACAAAAGCAAACAUCAAACAAACAAGAAAUAUUAUUCCAGCACUGUCCAUGUUGUAUGUUGUACCCAGUGGUCAACAUGUUCUCUGUAAGUAAAAUCUGAAGUUUAUCUGCUGCAGUGUUUGAAGGCCGGCUCACCAACCUCUUUCCAGGGGCUGAGCUGGCCUGAUGUUUCUGCAGUUACAUCAAUAAAUUAUAAAAAUGCUCUUGUGGUCAUAUUUUCUUAUAUAAGGAAUAAGAAUGUACCAGUAAACAUGC